rnacentral:rRNA from 1 species
UAGGGAAUCUUCGGCAAUGGACGGAAGUCUGACCGAGCAACGCCGCGUGAGUGAAGAAGGUUUUCGGAUCGUAAAGCUCUGUUGUAAGAGAAGAACGAGUGUGAGAGUGGAAAGUUCACACUGUGACGGUAUCUUACCAGAAAGGGACGGCUAACUACGUGCCAGCAGCCGCGGUAAUACGUAGGUCCCGAGCGUUGUCCGGAUUUAUUGGGCGUAAAGCGAGCGCAGGCGGUUAGAUAAGUCUGAAGUUAAAGGCUGUGGCUUAACCAUAGUACGCUUUGGAAACUGUUUAACUUGAGUGCAAGAGGGGAGAGUGGAAUUCCAUGUGUAGCGGUGAAAUGCGUAGAUAUAUGGAGGAACACCGGUGGCGAAAGCGGCUCUCUGGGUCGUUACUGACGCUGAGGAGCGAAAGCGUGGGGAGCGAACAGG